UCUCCGUAGGUGAACCUGCGGAGGGAUCAUUACAAGUGACCCCGGUCUUACCACCGGGAUGUUACUAACCCUUCGUUGUCCCGGGCUGUUGCCUCCGGGGCGACCCUGCCUUCGGGCGGGGGCUCCGGGUGGACACUUCAAGCUCUUGCGUAACUUUGCAGUCUGAGUAAACUUAAUUAAUAAAUUAAAACUUUUAACAACGGAUCUCUUGGUUCUG
rnacentral:misc_RNA from 1 species